UACGUAGGGGGCAAGCGUUGUCCGGAUUCACUGGGCGUAAAGCGCGCGUAGGCGGCUUUUUAAGUCUGAAGUGAAAGACUUGGGCUUAACUGAGGAAUUGCUUUGGAUACUGUAGAGCUAGAGUCUGGUUGAGGUCAGUGGAAUGUGACGUGUAGCGGUGAAAUGCAUAGAGAUGCGGUGGAACACCAGUGGCGAAGGCGGCUUUCUGGCCUAAGACUGACGCUGAGGCGCGAAAGCGUGGGGAGCGAACAGG
rnacentral:rRNA from 1 species